rnacentral:rRNA from 1 species
GACAACGCUGGCGGCGUGCCUAACACAUGCAAGUCAACGGGGUAAUGACUUCGGUUAUUACUUAGUGGCGAACGGGUGAGUAACGCGUGAGGAACCUGCCUUUCAUGGGGGACAACAGUUGGAAACGACUGCUAAUACCGCAUAACGCAGCGAGACCGCAUGGUCUUGCUGUCAAAGCUUUAUGUGCUGAGAGAUGGCCUCGCGUCUGAUUAGCUAGUUGGCGGGGUAACGGCCCACCAAGGCGACGAUCAGUAGCCGGUCUGAGAGGAUGAACGGCCACAUUGGGACUGAGAUACGGCCCAGACUCCUACGGGAGGCAGCAGUGGGGAAUAUUGGGCAAUGGGGGAAACCCUGACCCAGCAACGCCGCGUGAAGGAAGAAGGCCUUCGGGUUGUAAACUUCUUUUACCAGGGACGAAGAACGUGACGGUACCUGGAGAAAAAGCCACGGCUAACUACGUG